CUCCCGAUUCCCAGCCGCCGCCGCCACCGCAUCCUCUCUCCUCCCCUGACGUCGCCUUUUCCCCCUCCUCUCCUCGCAACGGCCUCCUCCUUCCUGCAGCGCCUCUUCCUCUCUUCCUUGCUGAUGGCGCCACCCGCCGGUCGAUGCCUCCUGUCUUGCCCUUUCCAUGGGGAGGUGGAGAUGGGAAGAUGGCGUUGGAGGAGGGAGCACGGGUGGGCGCCGCAGCUGAAGCACGGGUGGCCUGGUUGUGGCCUGGUUGUGGUGGAGCAUGGCGGGAGUCCGGGCGGCGUCGUGGUCGUGGUCAAGAGGAGAAGCACGGGUGGCCGCCGUAGCUGAGCUUCUAUGUAAUAUAGUUCCGAUGAAUCCUCUGCCGC
rnacentral:rRNA from 1 species